rnacentral:rRNA from 1 species
UACGUAGGGUGCGAGCGUUGUCCGGAAUUAUUGGGCGUAAAGGGCUCGUAGGCGGUUUGUCGCGUCGGGAGUGAAAACUCAGGGCUUAACCCUGAGCCUGCUCCCAGAUACGGGCAGGACUAGAGGUAUGCAGGGGAGAACGGAAUUCCUGGUGUAGCGGUGAAAAUGCGCAGAUAUCAGGAGGAACACCAGGUGGCGAAGGCGGAUUCUCUGGGCAGUUACCUGACGCUGAGGAGCGAAAGUGUGGGGAGCGAACAG